GACAGAGGGUGCGAACGUUGUUCGGAAUUACUGGGCGUAAAGCGCAUGUAGGCGGCAGCGCAAGUCGGGCGUGAAAUCCCACGGCUCAACCGUGGAAGUGCACUCGAAACUGCGCAGCUAGAGUCCUGGAGAGGAAGGUGGAAUGCUUGGUGUAGAGGUGAAAUUCGUAGAUAUCAAGCGGAACACCGGUGGCGAAGGCGGCCUUCUGGGACAGUGACUGACGCUGAGAUGCGAAAAGCGUGGGGAGCAAACAGG
rnacentral:rRNA from 1 species